UACGUAGGGGGCAAGCGUUAUCCGGAUUUACUGGGUGUAAAGGGAGCGUAGACGGCAGUGCAAGUCUGGAGUGAAAGGCGGGGGCUCAACCCCCGGACUGCUCUGGAAACUGUACGGCUGGAGUGCAGGAGAGGUAAGUGGAAUUCCCAGUGUAGCGGUGAAAUGCGUAGAUAUUAGGAGGAACACCAGUGGCGAAGGCGGCUUACUGGACUGUAACUGACGUUGAGGCACGAAAGUGUGGGGAGCAAACAGG
rnacentral:rRNA from 1 species